CAUUAAGCCCCCCCCCCCUGGGGAGUACGGCCGCAAGGCUAAAACUCAAAGGAAUUGACGGGGGCCCGCACCAAGCGGCGGAGCAUGCGGAUUAAUUUCGAUGCAACGCGAAGAACCUUACCAAGGCUUGACAUACACGAGAACGGGCCAGAAAUGGUCAACUCUUUGGACACUCGUGAACAGGUGGUGCAUGGUUGUCGUCAGCUCGUGUCGUGAGAUGUUGGGUUAAGUCCCGCAACGAGCGCAACCCUCGUCCUAUGUUGCCAGCACGUUAUGGUGGGAACUCAUGGGAGACUGCCGGGGUCAACUCGGAGGAAGGUGGGGAUGACGUCAAAUCAUCAUGCCCCUUAUGUCUUGGGCUUCACGCAUGCUACAAUGGCCGGUACAAAGGGCUGCGAUACCGUAAGGUGGAGCGAAUCCCAAAAAGCCGGUUCUCAGUUCGGAUUGAGGUCUGCAACUCGACCUCAUGAAGUUGGAGUCGCUAGUAAUCGCAGAUCAGCAAC
rnacentral:rRNA from 1 species